CCCUUAGAUGUCCGGGGCCGCACGCGCGCUACACGGAAGGAAUCAGCGUGGCUUUCUCCCUGACCCGAAAGGGUUGGGAAACCCGUUGAAUCUCCUUCGUGAUAGGGAUUGGGGCUUGAAAUUGUUCCCCAUGAACGAGGAAUUCCCAGUAAGCGCGAGUCAUAAGCUCGCGUUGAUUACGUCCCUGCCCUUUGUACACACCGCCCGUCGCUACUACCGAUUGAACGGUUUAGUGAGGGCCUCGGAUUGGUCUCGGCCCGCUCUUUACCGGGCGGCGCCGUUGGUCGAGAAGACGCUCGAACUUGAUCGUUUAGAGGAAGUAAAAGUCGUAACA
rnacentral:rRNA from 1 species